AAUGAACGCUGGCGGCAUGCCUUACACAUGCAAGUCGAACGGCAGCAUGACCUAGCUUGCUAGGUUGAUGGCGAGUGGCGAACGGGUGAGUAAUGCAUCGGAACGUGCCUUUUAGUGGGGGAUAACGUAGCGAAAGUUACGCUAAUACCGCAUAUUCUCUGAGGAGGAAAGCAGGGGACCUUCGGGCCUUGCGCUAGAAGAGCGGCCGAUGUCGGAUUAGCUAGUUGGCGAGGUAAAGGCUCACCAAGGCAACGAUCCGUAGCGGGUCUGAGAGGAUGAUCCGCCACACUGGGACUGAGACACGGCCCAGACUCCUACGGGAGGCAGCAGUGGGGAAUUUUGGACAAUGGGCGCAAGCCUGAUCCAGCCAUGCCGCGUGAGUGAAGAAGGCCUUCGGGUUGUAAAGCUCUUUCGGCUGGGAAGAAAUCGCACCCUCUAAUACAGGGUGUGGAUGACGGUACCAGCAUAAGAAGCACCGGCUAACUACGUG
rnacentral:rRNA from 1 species